rnacentral:rRNA from 1 species
GAGCGGCGGACGGCUGAGUAACGCGUGGGAACGUGCCCCAAAGUGAGGAAUAACUGCCCGAAAGGGUAGCUAAUGCCGCAUAUGAUCUUCGGAUUAAAGUCUUCGGACGCUUUGGGAGCGGCCCGCGUCGGAUUAGGUUGUUGGUGAGGUAAUGGCUCACCAAGCCGACGAUCCGUAGCUGGUCUGAGAGGAUGAUCAGCCAGACUGGAACUGAGACACGGUCCAGACUCCUACGGGAGGCAGCAGUGAGGAAUCUUCCACAAUGGGCGAAAGCCUGAUGGAGCAACGCCGCGUGCAGGAUGAAGGCCUUCGGGUCGUAAACUGCUUUUAUAAGUGAAGAAUAUGACGGUAACUUAUGAAUAAGCACCGGCUAACUACGUGCCAGCAGCCGCGGUCAUACGUAGGGUGCAAGCAUUAUCCGGAGUGACUGGGCGUAAAGAGUUGCGUAGGUGGUUUGUUAAGCGAGUAGUGAAAGCCGACGGCUCAACCGUACGGAUUAUUAUUCGAACUGGCAAACUCGAGAAUGGUAGAGGUAACUGGAAUUUCUUGUGUAGGAGUGAAAUCCGUAGAUAUAAGAAGGGACACCAAUGGCGUAGGCAGGUUACUGGACCAUUUCUGACACUAAGGCACGAAAGCGUGGGGAGCGAACGGGAUUAGAU